UAAACAACAGAAGGAAUGUUUUGCUUCACAUUGCGAAGUACAAUGUGUUUUGUGAUAUGUUCGGUAUUACUUCUCCUUAUUGUGUUACCUGAUUCAAUUCUAUGUGAUUCCAUUCAACAAAGCAAAGAGGAAAUGUUUUACAAAGAAGGAGAGGAAGCAACACUCCACUGUACCUACGAAACCAGUGGUAGUUACCCACGUCUUUACUGGUACCGUGUCUAUCAGAACCGAGCGCCUCAGUAUAUUCUGUACAAAGGAGCAAAGUCCGCUAACUGGGAAAGUAACACCGCAGCGUUUGCUGAGCAGAGGUUUUCUUCAACAGCAGAUGAUACCAGCACAACCCUGACCAUCACACAGACCUCCCUGUCUGACUCUGCCAUCUAUUACUGCGCCCUUUGGGACACCCACAGUGUGGGAAUGUAAUGAGAGACCCGCACAAAAACUAGGACCUCUGUCUGAGCACAGGGAUCACAUUCAGAUAUUUUCUCACGGAAGUCUGAAGGCUAAAGUAUCCACUAGAAUAUUUUAAGACAGAGAAUAAUCUUACUUACAGAAAUACUGUGGAAAUGCUGAAUUUUAUUUUUAGAAACUACGUUCAUCUAAACUGCUGAUAUCAGUUUUAGAUAAAUACUGUUUAAACCAAUCGCCCAUAUAGUGUACCAUUUGCUUUGUACCUCAUUAACUGAUUGUAUCAUAAUUUUCAUAACCACCGUAUUGCCUUUUGCACCGGGUUGUAUCCGAAAAGGCUCUUUGACCCAAUAUGGUUACCCGGUUAACAAAGGCAUACAUAAAUGCAUAACGCA